AGCUUGAAUCCAAGUCGAUUAGGUGCAUAUCCAAGUUCUAAGAUCACAACACCUGAUGGACUAAGCAAAUGUGCAUGAAUUUUAAAAAUAUAUUUAAUGCAAGGCAUGGCAUGUUAUGAAGUCAAUAGAUGGUAUGUAAGCUUGGACGUGCAUGGUUUUUAGCACACAACCCUCCCAGUGGCUUAAAAGAAAGCGGUUCACAUGAUAAAAACUGACUUUUUAGAUGGGACCCAUGUGAUUUGGUGUUGGGAAGUUAACUAUAAAUAGAGGAAGUGGCGCGUGGCUUAUGCUGGUACGUGGGUUGGCAUGGCGCACGACUUUUUGGUGUUGGGAUCAAGUGCUGGUAAAGUGCGAGAAUUGGAUGCGGACGCUGGACCAAGAGCUGAGAGAUUUAAAUGCAUAGCUGACAGGUUAAUAAAAGCGGCAUCCACGUGGUUUGCGCGCGAGUUAGGAGCUGGCAACGAAGACGUUAUGAAGCAGGCGGAACUAACGUGGGAGCUACGGAACAGACGCGAGAACGCGGUGCGGAAGCAUUUACGCGACUCGGACACGGCUUGGAGCUUUAUUAAAAGGAAAACCACAAGAGCGAAGAAAGUGAGAUACGCUGGACACCGCCAUUCUCCAUCUCGUCUUCCAUCAUUCUCAUUCCAUAUUUCAUCUAGCCUAGCCCUCCAAACAUCCAAAAAGCUUCCACCAUCCAUCACACACCAGCCCUCCUCUUCCAUCUCCAACCUUCCAAACAAUCCAUCUGCUCAAUCCCAGGAUGUCAGCGCGUAAGAGUUCCAUGGAAGGCUAGACUCCUUCAACUCGGAAAGACGAUGAAGCCUGCAACACAGAUUUAUUUUCUUUAUCUUGUAUUUAUUUUUCAUGCAAUGAAAUAAAGAAUUGUUUUAUGCUUCAUGCUCAUUUAAUAUUCUUUCUUAUUUCUUAGAGAUUUGGAUUUGACGUGUACGAUUUAUUCUUUUUACAGACAUGCCGUGAUCUACAGAUAUGGUACGCGCUAAGAGAGAUAGAUUGUUACAUUUCAAGUUCAAGUCUCUAACUUGUAGUUGAGUUAAGAUAAUCUAUACUCUGGACGGAUGAGCCAUAAUCCAAGGAUAUGGUUCGUACCUAUCCGAGGUAAAUUACGCUGCUUCUUAAUUACAAAUCUCAUCAUUGUGACAUAAAAGUAAAAGAAAAUAGAAUCUGUUUUACAUGGUGGAUUCUGAAUUUUCGAGAUUUCUUUCCUAUUCAAUUUUCUUUUGUGAAUUAAACUUAAAUUAUUAUUUUCUUAGUAAUUAAUUAAAAUCAAUCUUCUCUUUCUUUUAUUAAUUAUAAACAAUUGUCCGAGAUCCCUGUGAAACGAUCCUGAUUCACCCUAGCUACGUAGUAAGUUAGAAUUGGGUUUAUUUUUGAUGCCCUGAUGACGCGCAUCAAAUUUUGGCGCCGUUGCCGGGGAUCUUGGCACGGUUGAAAAAAAAAAAUAAAUUUAUUUAUUGCUUUCUUUAAUUACUUGUUUGCUUUUUGUUCUCUUGAUUUAUAAAAAAAAUAUUAUAAAUAUUUGCUUAUUUGCUGAAUUGCUUUAGUUUAUUUUCUUUAUAUUCUUGAGUUAACUUUUAAUAUAAUUAAUUUUUUUUUAAUUUUAAUUGCUUAAAAAAAAAUUAUCUCUACAUUGACACCUCAUAAGCCAUUUAGAAAAUUAGAGAAUUAAUCAUAAAAUCUAAAAAGAGAAACAAAGUGAUUUAAUUUAGUCUUGACUGUAUACUACUUACGAAGAUUGGACAUCUUGGUUUGUUGCAUCUCAUUUCCAUAAUUAAUCUUAAGGGCAAUAAUCCAUUAAUCAGAUAAGGUGGGGAUUUGAUCACCCUUCCUUGGUCUAAAAAUCAUAUCCUUCAUUUUGCAUUAAACCAAGCCUUAAUUUUAAAAUCAACUAGACGACAGCCUUAGAAAUUUCGAGCUCAAUAGGAUAAGAAAGCUCUAGAGUUGAACCGAGUGCGGAUUGGUUAAUUGCUCGGUGUCUAAGGCAAGUGGUUAAAGAAAGUGGUUUUCAAUUGGUUCCGUUGACUGAUCUGGCCAACUCAGUUGGUGUCUAAGGAAAGCAACGAGCAGGGAACCUCCCACAUCUUACACUUACCUGGCCGAAUCAAUUAGUCAGUCUUGAGCUUGGAGUGCUCAAAGGCGGUCUUGGAAGAUAGGAGCUGUCUAGAUCUAGGUUAACCCUAGGAUAGAGAGUCUAUGCUUGUUUAAGUUGAUUGCAAUUAACAUCUAAAUAUUAACUAAUUUCUCCUUUUUCAUAGAUUUAAGAUUCUUAGGUUCUUCUCUUUAGAUUUCCUUCACUCUUUUCUCACUUUAUUAAAAUAUAUAUAUAUAUAUAUAUUAUAAAAACUAAAAUUUUCUAUAUUUGCUGUCAAGUAUAAUUGUAGGGUGUAUGCUCGGUCGUAGAUCGUUACGACCAGAAAUCCAACCUUUUGAUCCAGAAAUAGAAAAAACCUUUAGAGCCAACAGAUGUAAAAAUAUGGAACGAAAUCAGGANNNNNNNNNNNNNNNNNNNNGUUACCUUCAUUUUAUGGACUUAGUAAUGAGGACCCUUAUAAACAUCUUAAAGAAUUUCUUGAGAUAUGCUCAACUGUCAAGAUUCACAACUUCUCCGAUGAUGCUCUUAGGUUCAAAUUAUUCCCUUUCUCACUUAAGGACAAAGCCAAAUACAGGCUACAUACUUUGGAUUCCAUGACUAUAUCAACCUGGGACCAGCUGCAAGGAGAGUUUCUCAAGAAAUAUUUUUUCAUAGGAAAAACUAAUCAAAUAAGAAAAGCCAUAACUAGUUUUUCCCAAUUAAAUGGAGAAAUGUUCCAUGAAACAUGGGAGAGGUUAAAGGACCUUAUUAGAAAAUGUCCCCACCAUGCUGUACCCAAGUGGCAGUUAAUCCAAUGUUUUUAUGAUGGGCUAUCUGAAAGACAUCGACAAAUGGUCGAUGCAUCAUGCGGUGGAACAUUCAUGCUCAAAAGUGAGGAAGAGGCAUGGCAACUGUUUGAAAUUUUAAGUGAAAAUUCAUUACAUCAUAUGUCUACCUUCAUUAGAGAUAAACCCAUGUUAAACCCAAAGAGAGGUGGAAUAUAUGAAGUAGGAAACUCAAUAGAUAUCCAUCAUAAGAUAGAUGAAUUGUCCCAAAAAUUAAAUCGAUUAUUAAGUAUGGGACAUUCCUCUUCUCCAUCUUGUUAGAUGCAAGAUAUAUGUGCAUUAUGUUCGAGCCCACUCAUUGUGUGAAUGAUUGUCCAGUUGCACUACAGUUUUCUGAAUAUAUACAAGAACAAGUCCAUCAAGCCCAAACUACUCAUAGACCAGGGAACAACCCCUAUUCUAGUACGUACAAUCCAGGAUGGAGAAAUCAUCCGAAUUUCUCGUGGAAAUCACAACCAGUGGUUCUUCCAGUGCAACAAAAAUCAGGUUAUCUGGAUGUAGCUUAUAGACAUCCAUCUCAGUCACAAUACCAGAACCCUCCUCAACCCACCCCAAGUACUCAUAACUCGGCUUUCGAAGAAAAGGUGCUGCAAGCACUUAAAGGACUAGAAAUGAAUACCCAACUCCUUCACUCCCAUACGCAAUCAAUAGCAAAGCUAGAGACCCAGAUAGGUCAGCUAGCAACAACUUUCAGUAGGAGGGAAGAAGGCAAAUUACCCAGUCAGCCUAUUAAUAACCCAAAAGGACAGUACAUGGCUGAAAGCACCAUUAGUCCUAAAACUUUUCCCGAACAUGCCAAAUCGAUUAUGACCCUUAGAAGCGAAAAAACCUUAAAUCAACCUGAAAUAACCCAACAACAAGAGCAACCAAUUCCAGCCACACCAGAAAAGAAGAAACCUGAAGAGAGGAAAGAACAUGUUAACCCAGCACAUGUACCUAAGGCUCCAUUUCCUAGUACUUUAGAAUCCCCUCUGCCUCUUGAUAAGAAGGGUAUAAAAAUGAAUGAAAUGUUGGAACUGUUUAAACAGGUUCAGAUAAACUUACCCCUUCUCGAUGCCAUUAAGCAAGUUCCGACCUAUGCCAAAUUUCUAAAGGACCUGUGUACACAGAAAUGAAAAUCAAAGGCACAGAUACCAAGAAAAGUCCACCUAACUGAGCAGGCCAGCUCAGUUUUUCAGCAAAUUGCCCCACCCAAACUGAAAGAUCCAGGUACCCCUAUUAUUUCUUGUGUCAUAGGGGAUCUCACGAUUAAGAAGGCAUUAUUAGAUUUGGGUGUAAGUGUCAACCUUCUCCCGAGUUUUGUAUAUGACCUAUUUGGAUUUGGAGAGUUAAAACCCACGACAGUGACCUUACAACUAGCAGACCGAUCUAUUAAGGUACCUCGAGGAAUGCUGGAAGAUGUGUUGGUGAAAGUAGAUGAAUUCUAUUUUUCUGUUGACUUUCUUGUGCUGGAUAUGGAUCUGGCAGCAACCCUAGCCAAAUACCGAUCAUCCUAGGUGGACCCUUCUUAACAACCGCUAAUGCUUGUAUAAAUUGUAGGACUGGGGUUAUGGAUGUAUCUUUCGAAAAUAAGAAGUUGAGGUUGAAUAUUUUCAAUGCAUCUCAGGGACCACCUACAUACGACCAUAAUGAGAUCAACCUGUUAGAGGAAGUUGUAGAAGAUAAAGCUCUUGCCUUACUCAACUCAGAUCCUUUACAGGCAUGUCUAACACAUUUUGGAAUGAAUAAUUUUGAUAUCGAUGGAUACACUGAAGAAAUACAUGUUUUGCUAGAACCUCCCAAUUUUAGCACCACUCCCCUUUGGACUGUAAAAUAUGAACAAUUACCAACUCAAUCAAGUCCUCUGGUACCAUCCUUAGAAGCACUACCUACUCUAGAACUAAAGCCUCUUCCUGUCAUGCUGGAAUAUUCAUUUCUUGGAUCCAAUGAUACCCUUCCAGUGAUCAUUGCAUCUGACCUAACUACUGAUCAGGAAGACAAACUUGUAGGGGUGCUCAAAAAGCAUAAAGAGGCUAUAGGGUGGUCGAUUGCCGAUUUGAAGGGUAUAGAUCCUUCUGUUUGCAUGCAUCAUAUUCACUGCGAGGUUGAGGCAAAACCAUAUAAGGACAUGCAACGAAGAUUGAAUCCGAAUAUGCGGGAAGUCGUGAAAAAAGAAGUAGUGAAAUGGCUAGAUGCUGGAAUUAUCUACCCAAUUUCGGAUAGCCAAUAGGUUAGUCCAACCCAAGUAGUACCUAAGAAGUCAGGUAUUACCGUAGUAGAGAACAACGAGGGUGAAUUGAUUCUUACUCGUGCAACAACUGAUUGGCAAGUAUGUGUGGACUACCGAAAGUUGAAUGCCGUUACUAGGAAAGAUCAUUUUCCUUUGCCUUUUAUUGACCAAAUUUUAGAACGGCUAGCAGGACAAAGUUUCUUCUAUUUUCUAGAUGGAUAUUUGGGAUAUAACCAGAUUUCGGUAUUCCCUGCUGAUCAAGAAAAGACUACCUUCACAUGUCUAUAUGGAACAUUUGCAUUUAGACGUAUGCCAUUCGGUCUCUGCAAUGCACCAGCCACUUUUCAACGGUGCAUUUUGGCCAUCUUUUCUGAUAUGGUCGACAAAUUUCUAGAGGUCUUCGUGGACAAUUUUUUGAUAUUUGGCUCUACCUUUGAUGAUUGUCUUCAGAACCUAGCCAAGGUUCUCCAACGAUGUGUAGAGACAAAUUUGGUUUUAAGUUGGGAGAAGAGCCAUUUUAUGGUUCGUGAGGGAAUCGUGCUUGGACAUAUUGUAUCCAAAUGGGGGAUCGAAGUAGAUAAAGCAAAGGUUGAAGUAAUCUUGAAAUUGCCUCCCCCAACCUCGGUUAAACAAGUGCGAUCCUUCCUAGGCCAUGCAGAUUUCUAUAGGCGCUUCAUUAAGGAUUUCAGCAAGAUCUCACGACCCUUGUGCAACUUGCUUGCCAAGGAAAAUUCUUUUGAUUUUAAUGAAGAUUGCCUAACCGCUUACAAUAAACUCAGAACUGCCUUAACCACUGCACCAAUCAUAAAAUCUCCGGAUUGGACCCUACCAUUUGAAAUCAUGUGUGAUGCUUCUGAUUAUGCUGUAGGGGCAGUCCUUGGGCAAAGCUUUAAUUGGGAACCGCAUGUAAUUUAUUAUGCAAGUAAAACUCUUUCAGAUGCUCAAUUGAAUUACACCACGACUGAAAAAGAGUUACUCGCUGUUGUGUUUGCCCUAGAUAAAUUUAGAUUAUACCUUUUGGGCUCCAAGGUCCUAGUAUACUCCGAUCAUGUAGCACUGAAACAUCUGCUAUCCAAAAAAGAUACAAAACCUAGGCUGAUUAGAUGGAUCCUUCUAUUACAAGAAUUUGAUUUAGAAAUUUUAGACAAAAAAGGCUCUGAAAACUUGGUAGCAGAUCAUAUUUCUAGGAUCCUGAUAGAACACAAUAAAGAAAUGAUUAGAGAUAGGUUUCCAGAUGAACAACUCUUUUCAAUCUCUUCCACUGGUCUUCUCUGGUUCACUCAUAUAGUCAAUUACUUGGCAGUGGGACAAAUAUCAUCACAUUGGACCUAACAAGAGAAAAACAGAUUUUUCUCCCAAGUAAAGUACUAUUUCUGGGAAGAACCAGAGUUGUUCAAAUAUUGCCCAAAUCAAGUAAUCCGACGUUGUGUCUUCGAGUGUGAAGUCCAAAGUUUUUUUAACUUCUGCCACUCGCUAGCAUGUGGGGGAUAUUUUAGUGGAAGGAAAACUGCAGCAAAGGUGUUGCAGAGUGGAUUUUAUUAGCCGACAUUAUUCAAAGAUGCACAUGAAUUCAGUCGUAAUUGCCUGCAAUGCCAGCAAACAGGGAAUAUUUCGAGAAAAGAUAUGAUGCCCCUAUCCCCUAUACUUGUAGUAGAAAUUUUUGAUAUUUGGAGAAUUGAUUUCAUAGGACCCUUUCUCUCAUUUGGAUUCGAGUACAUUUUGGUAGCAGUGGACUACGUAUCAAAAUGGGUAGAGGCUAUGGCAACCCGAACCAAUGAUCACAAAGUCAUGAUCAAGUUUAUUCAGCAUAACAUCUUUAGUCGAUUUGGAUGCCCAAGAGCCAUAAUUAGCGAUGGGGGUACACACUUCACGAAUAAGCACUUCGACACGCUAAUGAAAAAAUAUGGAAUAACCCAUAAAGUCAUCACACCUUAUCACCCCCAAACAAGUGGCCAAGUUGAGGUCUCCAACAGGGAAAUCAAGCAUAUUCUUGAAAAAACGGUAAGACCCGAUAGAAAAGAUUGGUCAGCACGCUUGGAUGAUGCAUUAUGGGCUUACCGUACUACUUUUAAAACACCCAUAGGAAUAUCUCCUUAUCGACUUGUAUUCGGUAAAGCUUGUCAUCUGCCGGUGGAAUUGGAACAUCGUGCAUUUUGGGCCAUACGAUAAUUUAACUUUGAUAUGAAAAAUGUGGGUUCCAAUAGGAGACUUCAACUAAAUGAACUUGAAAAGCUACGCAAUGAAGCGUAUGAGAGUGCCAGAAUUUAUAAGGCUCGAACUAAAGCAUACCACGAUAAAUUCAUUGCACGAAAAAUAUUCGAGUCCAAUCAAAAAGUUUGGCUCUUCAAUUCUAGGUUGUGAUUUUUUCCUGAUAAAUUUCGUUCAUGUUGGAACGGACCUUUCAUUGUAACUCAAGUAUUUCCCUAUGAAGCCGUAGAACUCAGAGAUCCUAAACAGGGGAACACCUUUAAAGUAAACGGUCAGUGAUUGAAACCUUACAUAAAUGGAAUUAGCGAUGGAGAAUUAAUUGAAUCUGUUGAUCUAAUGGAUCCAAUACCGCUAUGAUACUCAGUUCAGUCUUGCUGAAGACUUUAAACUUAGCGCUCCUAGGAGACAACCCAAUUUAUACAUUUUUUUUUAAUUAUCUAGCUUCUUUUCUUUUCAUAAAAAAAUCUAAGAAAGGCAAUCAGCCAAGUUGGGGGGAGCAUCUCAUCCAAAGUCCAGAUGAAGUCAUGAACCAAUCACGCCCACAAAGGAAGAAUCCCUCACCUGACAAUGAACGAGCACAUCAAAUCCAGGUGGUAUCUUUCCUUGUAAUUUCUUUCUCUAUUCUACUUUGUUAUUUUCUUCAUCCAUCGGGGGCAAUGGAAAUAAAGUUGGAGGGGAGAGAAUAAUUAAAUUAAUCAAGUCCUCAAGUAUGACCAUAAUCACUUUUGUGUACCAAAUUUUGUCUUGAUUUGAAGUAAAUCAGGUGUUCUAACUGAUAAAUGAUUAACGGUUUAGACAAUUUUAGAGAUAUUGAGGGGCAAAUUAUUAAGGAAGUCCAAUAAAUGGUAGGGUUUAGACCUGAACAAAUUUUAAAGUAAUUUUAAAAUCUUCGGCCCAAUGAUCUCAAUAAAGAAUCUACUUUAUGAGGGUAUAAGUGGAAAAGUCAAAGUAUGCAUAAAGUCCACUUUACAGUCUAUUUAGAUUAAUAAAAUAGGUUUUCAGCAUUUCUUACUGAGUAACCGAGCCCUUUCGCCUAAGUAAGCGUUAUAGUUCGCGUCAAAAGGUAGGAAUGUGAAAGAACCUCUUGUAAAGUCAGUCUUAACUCGUAGCCUUUUUGACUCGAGUUAGUAAGCCUGAGGGGUGUUCUACACCUAAUGCCCUAAAGCCAACUGAUUUGGGAGUCAUUGGCUUAAAACUCGCUAUAAGGGUCAAUUAGAAAGCUUAAGGGGUUAGGACAUUGCACUGACUAUAUGCUUCAAAAAAAAAAAAGGUAUAAGGGGACUAAAAUGCAAAAAGACACUACACUAAGCCCACAGUAAGUUAGAGGACUUAAAGAGUGAAGUGGGAAGUUGGCAAAAGAAAAAAAAUUCUAGAAAUUUCUAUGGACUUCACUCAACCACUAGAUGGGUAGAAUUGAUAACCCGAUGAAAUAUCCCUUUGAUGAUCUAGCCAGGUAUCAAUUGACAUAGAAUUGCCACGAUAACUCUCAUUUCUAGGACAAUUUGGUACGUAUUAUUGAUUUAUCUAUUUUACUCGAGGACGAGUAAAAGUUCAAAUUGGGGGGUGUGAUCAAUACAUUAAUUAUGCCACGAGAAGUAUUAUACCUGUGCUAUUUAAUCUUUAUUAUUUUAUUUUUUUCAGGAAUUAUCAAGUAUAAAGGCCUAAUUACAGAUCGACUAUGUGACCAAGCCUGAGCUCGAAUCCAAAUCGAUUAGGUGCAUAUCCAAGUUCUAAGAUCACAACACCUGAUGGACUAAGCAAAUGUGCAUGAAUUUUAAAAAUAUAUUUAAUGCAAGGCUUGGCAUGUUAUGAAGUCAAUAGAUGGUAUGUAAGCUUGGACGUGCAUGGUUUUUAGCACACAACCCUCCCAGUGGCUUAAAAGAAAGCGGUUCACAUGAUAAAAACUGACUUUUUAGAUGGGACCCAUGCGAUUUGGUGUUGGGAAGUUAACUAUAAAUAGAGGAAGUGGCGCGUGGCUUAUGCUGGUACGUGGGUUGGCAUGGUGCGCGACUUUUUGGUGUUGGGAUCAAGUGCUGGUAAAGUGCGAGAAUUGGACGCGGACGCUGGACCAAGAGCUGAGAGAUUUAAAUGCAUAGCUGACAGGUUAAUAAAAGCGGCAUCCACGCGGUUUGCACGCGAGUUAGGAGCUGGCAACAAAGAUGUUAUGAAGCAGGCGGAAAACUAACGCUGGAGCUAUGGAACAGAUGCGAGAACGCGGUGCGGAAGCAUUUACACAACUCGAACACGGCUUGGAGCUUUAUUAAAAGGAAAACCACAGGAGCGAAGAAAGUGAGAUACACUGGACACCGCCAUUCUCCAUCUCUUCUUCCAUCAUUCUCAUUCCAUAUUUCAUCUAGCCUAACCCUCCAAACAUCCAAAAAGCUUCCACCAUCCAUCACACACCAGCCCUCCUCUUCCAUCUCCAACCUUCCAAACAAUCCAUCUGCUCAAUCCCAGGAUGUCAGCGCGCAAGAGUUCUAUGGAAGGCUGACUCCUUCAACUCGGAAAGACGAUGAAGCCUGCAACACAGAUUUAUUUUCUUUAUCUUGUAUUUAUUUUCCAUGCAAUGAAAUAAAGAAUUGUUUUAUGCUUCAUGCUCAUUUAAUAUUCUUUCUUAUUUCUUAGAGAUUUGGAUUCGACGUGUACGAUUUAUUCUUUUUACAGACAUACCGUGAUCUACAGAUACGGUACGCACUAGGAGAGAUAGAUUGUUACAUUUCAAGUUCAAGUCUCUAACUUGUAGUUGAGUUAAGGUAAUCUAUACUCU
rnacentral:lncRNA from 1 species